rnacentral:rRNA from 1 species
GACGAACGCUGGCGGCGUGCUUAACACAUGCAAGUCGAGCGAUGAAGCACUUUCGGGUGUGAAUUAGCGGCGAACGGGUGAGGAACACGUGAAGAAUCUGCCUUCAACUCUGGGAUAACUCCGGGAAACCGGGGCUAAUACCGGAUAUGAGCCUUGAUCGCAUGAUCGGGGCUGGAAAGUUUUUCGGUUGAAGAUGACUUCGCGGCCUAUCAGCUUGUUGGUGAGGUAAUGGCUCACCAAGGCGACGACGGGUAGCCGGCCUGAGAGGGCGACCGGCCACACUGGGACUGAGACACGGCCCAGACUCCUACGGGAGGCAGCAGU